CCGGAUUAACUAUGAUAAUUUAAGGCCAAGGUUAUUCCGGGAUUUGAAGUCGGGACUUUUGACCAUUUGAUUUUAUUCGGAGACAUAAGUUAUAUAUGAAAUUGUUGGUAUUUGAACACUUAGGAGAAAUUGAGACCACAAUUCAUAAAAUUGGAAUUUAAAAUGUGGUGCAAAUGCCUUGGUGUCCGUGUGAAUUAAAAAGGGGUCCCACACAUUGUGUGGCCAAUUUUAAUUGGUCCAACACAUUGUGUGGGCCAAAGUCACUAAGAAAUAUUUUGGUAUACUUUUAAAAGAUGAAGACCAAGUCUUCUUUUAUCAUUUGGCUCAUUUUAACACUUAGAAAAUAAAAGAGAGAGAGAGCACCAAGCCAUGGAGGCUUUCGGCUGAACCAAGGGAAAACCAACCCCAUUUUUAACUUCCCUUAAAAUUAUUUCCUUGGUGUUAACCCACUAUAUUGAGGUCCCUAAGUAGCGUGGAAGAGUUGUUUGGGUCAUCCAACCAUUAGUUGUACCCAUUUGCAAACCCUAGCUAUUUGGUGGAUUGAAGAAAAGAGACCUUGGGGAGCCCGAGGCGUACAUUCGGGUUAGCUUUAGAUUGGCUAUCUUGGAAGUGCGUUCGAGGUACCGACGCACAGUUUGGUGAUCCACCGCUUUAGGACACCCCUUUUGCUGUUGGAGUGCUCUUCUCCUUUCAGAGCAUACCUUUUGGUAUAUCUUUUGUUCGCUAUGUUUGUAUAUAUUCGUUCAGGGGUACGGCGGGGCCCUGUCCCGCCAUAUGAUUCGUUUGGUCUGUUUAGAGGUCUGUAGACUUAUUUGUGGGUGUGUGUGCCUACUUCUGUACAGCUGUGUCCAUAUGAUCUCUUUCGUUAUGGCAGCCUUGUCGGCGUGAAUUUUGUAUAU